UACGUAGGGUGCGAGCGUUAAUCGGAAUUACUGGGCGUAAAGCGUGCGCAGGCGGCUUUGCAAGACAGAUGUGAAAUCCCCGGGCUCAACCUGGGAACUGCAUUGGUGACUGCAAGGCUAGAGUACGGCAGAGGGGGAUGGAAUUCCGCGUGUAGCAGUGAAAUGCGUAGAUAUGCGGAGGAACACCAAUGGCGAAGGCAAUCCCCUGGGCCUGUACUGACGCUCAUGCACGAAAGCGUGGGGAGCAAACAGG
rnacentral:rRNA from 1 species